GACGAACGCUGGCGGCGUGCUUAACACAUGCAAGUCGAACGGAAAGGCCCUGCUUUUGUGGGGUGCUCGAGUGGCGAACGGGUGAGUAACACGUGAGUAACCUGCCCUUGACUUUGGGAUAACUUCAGGAAACUGGGGCUAAUACCGGAUAGGAGCUCCUGCUGCAUGGUGGGGGUUGGAAAGUUUCGGCGGUUGGGGAUGGACUCGCGGCUUAUCAGCUUGUUGGUGGGGUAGUGGCUUACCAAGGCUUUGACGGGUAGCCGGCCUGAGAGGGUGACCGGACAAAGUGGGAAGGAGAAAGGGCCAAGACUCCAGGGGGAGGAAGAGGGGGGGAAUAUUGAAAAAGGGGGGGAAGCGUGAGGCAGCACCGCCGCGUGGGGGAGGAGGGCCUUCGGUUUGAAACCCGCUUGGGCCGGUGAGGAAGGGGGAGGGAGGGAAAGGGGUAAAGAAGAACGGGAAAAUACCGUG
rnacentral:rRNA from 1 species